rnacentral:rRNA from 1 species
GACGAACCGUGCGAACGUUGUUCGGAAUCACUGGGCUUAAAGGGCGCGUAGGCGGCCCGCCGCGUCCGGGGUGAAAUCCUCCCGCUCAACGGGAGAACGGCCUCGGAUACGGGCGGGCUGGAGGCGGGUAGGGGCACGCGGAACUGUGGGUGGAGCGGUGAAAUGCGUUGAGAUCCACAGGAACUCCGGUGGCGAAGGCGGCGUGCUGGACCCGUCCUGACGCUGAGACGCGAAAGCGUGGGGAGCAAACAGG